UACGGAGGGGGUUAGCGUUGUUCGGAAUUACUGGGCGUAAAGCGUACGUAGGCGGAUUAGUGAGGGGUGAAAUCCCAGGGCUCAACCCUGGAACUGCCUUUCAUACUGGCAAUCUAGAGAUCGAGAGAGGUGAGUGGAAUUCCGAGUGUAGAGGUGAAAUUCGUAGAUAUUCGGAGGAACACCAGUGGCGAAGGCGGCUC
rnacentral:rRNA from 1 species